CGAGCGCAUGAGUUGUUUUGGACCUGUGACUACCGGGAGGCCCCCCGCUGUUGUGCGGCCGACUUUCGGUGCCAGUGUCCUUCCAAUUGUUGGCUAUUGUGUGGCUAUUCUCUGAACGAGUGCUUGCGUGCUGCUACCAGUCGCACUGGAAGUUGCAUUGCAAAAUGUUGCUUUUGCCGUGCAUGCCCUCAGGGCAUGCCACGUCAAAUAUGAAGCGUUCAUGGCGUUUCCUCGUGUGGCUGGCUGCAUAGGCUAGCGACAUCAAGGCGACCUCAUGUAUGCUGUCGGUCUCGGAUGUGGCUGACUAUAAAGGCUGUAGGUGCUUUGGCACCUCAUCCCUAAAUAGUCCGAUUGGAAUCAAAGACAGUAAGCCUAGCUGAUGCUUUGUGCGGAAGCUAGAGUU
rnacentral:misc_RNA from 1 species